rnacentral:rRNA from 1 species
UCUUGCAAACUAAAGAUGGCGACCGGCGCACGGGUGAGUAACACGUAUCCAACCUGCCGAUAACUCGGGGAUAGCCUUCCGAAAGAAAGAUUAAUAUCCGAUAGUAUAUUAAAACCGCAUGGUUUUACUAUUAAAGAAUUUCGGUUAUCGAUGGGGAUGCGUUCCAUUAGUUUGUUGGCGGGGUAACGGCCCACCAAGACUACGAUGGAUAGGGGUUCUGAGAGGAAGGUCCCCCACAUUGGAACUGAGACACGGUCCAA